UCGAGAAUUUUUGGCAAUGGGGGAAACCCUGACCAAGCGAUGCCGCGUGCGGGAUGAAGGCCUUCGGGUUGUAAACCGCUGUCAGUGGGGAGAAAAGGAUGGUGAGUUCUCUCAUCAUUUUGAUCUAUCCGCAGAGGAAGUGUGGGCUAAGCUCGUGCCAGCAGCCGCGGUAAGACGAGCCACACGAACGUUAUUCGGAAUUACUGGGCUUAAAGGGUGCGUAGGCGGUGCGGAAAGUUGGGUGUGAAAUCCCUCGGCUCAACCGAGGAACUGCGCCCAAAACUACCGUACUCGAGGAAGAUAGAGGUGAGCGGAACUUACGGUGGAGCGGUGAAAUGCGUUGAUAUCGUAAGGAACACCCGUGGCGAAAGCGGCUCACUGGGUCUUCUCUGACGCUGAUGCACGAAAGCUAGGGGAGCAAACGG
rnacentral:rRNA from 1 species